AACGAACGCUGGCGGCGUGCUUAACACAUGCAAGUCGAACGCGAAAGGGACUUCGGUCCUGAGUAAAGUGGCGCACGGGUGAGUAACGCGUAGAUAACCUGUCUUCAUGUCUGGAAUAAUACGCCGAAAGGGGUACUAAUACCGGAUAUUCUUGCUUUUCAUAAGUUAUGCAAGCAAAGGUGGCCUCUGCAUAUGCUACUGCAUGAAGAGGGGUCUGCGUACCAUUGGCUAGUAGGUGGGGUAAUGGCCUACCUAGGCGACGAUGGUUAGCGGGUCUGAGAGGAUGAUCCGCCACACUGGCACUGGAACACGGGCCAGACUCCUACGGGAGGCAGCAGUGAGGAAUAUUGCGCAAUGGGGGAAACCCUGACGCAGCGACGCCGCGUGAGUGAGGAAGGCCUUCGGGUCGUAAAGCUCUGUCAAGAGGAAAGAAGUGUACAAUGGCUAAUACCUGUUGUAUUUGACGGUACCUCUAAAGGAAGCACCGGCUAACUCCGUGCCAGCCGCGGC
rnacentral:rRNA from 1 species